UUUAAAAUAAAAAUAAAAAUCAAAGAGACCUCCUCUAUUAAAACAUUACCCAAAACCUUCUAAAUCAAGCAAAAAGACAAAAUUGUUCUUCACUACAUGUGCUUUCAUUGAAAAACAAGAGAUCCAUUUUGUUCUUGUUGAAAGGGGUUGGAAAUACUACCACCAUUGAUGGACAAAGCUUCAAGAAACGUGAGUUUGCAAUCAAAUAAUAAAAUUUGAACUUAAAUUGAUUAAUUAUUGUUGAAACAGGUUAAAAAUACUAUCACCGUUGACGGAUAAAGCUUCAAGCUUUAAAUUGGGGUUUCAUUUUACUUGAGUUCGCCAUCAACAACGAGCUUCUUCUCCAGCCAAGUGAAUUGAACCAAGUGCCUCAUAUUUUUGUGGAUGUUUUUGGAAAGUUAUUUACUAUAAUUUUGCACAGGGAAUUGAUUUCUAAUCAUCUUCCACGGCUUCACAAAGAUCAAGAACCUCCAAGUAGUUUUAUGAUGAUUCACAUGAAGAAUGCAAAUAUGAUUAGGAGUUUUCAUCACCCACAGGGUUUUCUUGUUCUUGUAACUACAAAAACAUUACUUUAUAUCUAUU